UCAGACGAACGCUGGCGGCGUGCCUAAUACAUGCAAGUCGAGCGGACAGAAGGGAGCUUGCUCCCGGAUGUUAGCGGCGGACGGGUGAGUAACACGUGGGUAACCUGCCUGUAAGACUGGGAUAACUCCGGGAAACCGGAGCUAAUACCGGAUAGUUCCUUGAACCGCAUGGUUCAAGGAUGAAAGACGGUUUCGGCUGUCACUUACAGAUGGACCCGCGGCGCAUUAGCUAGUUGGUGAGGUAACGGCUCACCAAGGCGACGAUGCGUAGCCGACCUGAGAGGGUGAUCGGCCACACUGGGACUGAGACACGGCCCAGACUCCUACGGGAGGCAGCAGUAGGGAAUCUUCCGCAAUGGACGAAAGUCUGACGGAGCAACGCCGCGUGAGUGAUGAAGGUUUUCGGAUCGUAAAGCUCUGUUGUUAGGGAAGAACAAGUGCAAGAGUAACUGCUUGCACCUUGACGGUACCUAACCAGAAAGCCACGGCUAACUACGUGCCAGCAGCCGCGGUAAUACGUAGGUGGCAAGCGUUGUCCGGAAUUAUUGGGCGUAAAGGGCUCGCAGGCGGUUUCUUAAGUCUGAUGUGAAAGCCCCCGGCUCAACCGGGGAGGGUCAUUGGAAACUGGGAAACUUGAGUGCAGAAGAGGAGAGUGGAAUUCCACGUGUAGCGGUGAAAUGCGUAGAGAUGUGGAGGAACACCAGUGGCGAAGGCGACUCUCUGGUCUGUAACUGACGCUGAGGAGCGAAAGCGUGGGGAGCGAACAGGAUUAGAUACCCUGGUAGUCCACGCCGUAAACGAUGAGUGCUAAGUGUUAGGGGGUUUCCGCCCCUUAGUGCUGCAGCUAACGCAUUAAGCACUCCGCCUGGA
rnacentral:rRNA from 1 species